AUGAAGGUAUCAGAAGGCUGCUUUCUUUUAACCCGACUUGCCCAUUCCUGGCUUUUCCGCCUGGGGUUUACCUUGACCCUGAAUAAUAUGGACCAAAGAAAAGAAGAAGGAAAAAGAAGAAAACUCCACCGCUCCUUGUUGCACUGCUUAGAAGGCUGUGUUGGGAGCUCUGUGGGUAUGCCUCUGUGGGUAUGCCUCUUGGUGACUGCUCUUGUCGAUCAUGUGGGGCUUGUGUGGAAUUUUCUCAGCUCUCCUGCCCAAUUUCACCUCUGCAGUGAUUUCUUACCUGACACGUCAAGUUGGACAAACCACUCAUUGCUGACACACCGGUUUUCCAAGGGUGAACUCUCUUGCUGGCGUGUAAUAGCCAACCCUUGUUUGCUUGGGGGUUGAGAUUUACUCACCGACCCCAUUCCCAAUGCACUGAUUUUGAAUCUUGUAAAUUUCCAGUCUCUAGUUUCAGGGUUUGUUGAUGUAACUGUGUGAGUCAUCUGCAAGGUCCGGGGGAGACAGACUGGGAUGGGUUUGGAAUUUAAACGUUACCAAGCCUCAACGAGCCACUCGUUCCCUGAGCAGCUCUGCAGCGGUGGGCAGUGUUCCAGGCAGAGGGGACACAGAGGAUGGAGCAGAGCCCUUGAAGCUGACAUGGUCGAGGGGAAGACAUACAACAAAGAAGCCAGACAGCUGUCACACUGUGACGAGCAUGAUUCAGAUGUGACGGGUUGUCCUCCUUUCCUGCUCUCACUGGCUCAUCCAUUCUUCCAGUUGUCCCUCACAGCACUGUGAUUGUUUGUUGUGUCUUUGUCUCCUCCAUCUGAAUUCAAAUUUAUGAGGAAAAGGCACACUGUCAUUUUACUUCUAAAUUCCCAAUUCCUAUAUGGUGUCAGCUAUAGUGAAUGUGCUCAGUAAAACCUUUUGACACUGAAUAUUUCAUUCUUGGAUUUAUCAUAUUUUUCCCUACUGUUGUUUCCUUUAUUCCUGAUUUCUUAAUGUACCAUUAAAAAAUGUGUGUAUUAAUGGCAAGGAUAUGUGGUAGUGGGAGGAAGUGGAGGGUAGAAGGACAGAUGGACAUGAUCAAUGCACAAUAUAUGCACAUAUGGAAGUAUCACAGUAAAUCCUAUGAAUCGUACAAUUAAUAUGUGCUAAUAAUAAUGAGAAACAAAAUGGAUUUAUUUUUAUAGGUCUUUCUGAUAUAGGUGAGUUUGCAUAAGCAUGAAACAUAUAAAAUAUAUAAAGGAUUUUGAAUGGAAAAAUGAGUAAAAUAGUAAAUAUAUAGGCUAACGUUAGACAAAACUUGAGUCCAAACACAAACUGUCUUGGUUACUCAUCACUAGGACACAAUACCCUACACAUGCAACUUAAAGGAGGAGAGAUUUAUUUUGGCUCAUGGUUUUAGAGGUUUCAGUCCAUGGUUAGCUGGCUCCAAGGCAGGGCAGCCUGGCCAAGCAGAGCUGUUCAUGGCCUGGCUGCCUGGAAGCAGAGAGAAGAAGGGAGAAGCUGGGAAGGGAAAUAUAGAACACUGAUGAUCCACCUCCUCCCACCAGCACCACCUCCUAACAGCAAGUCCUCUGUAAGGGCAUCCUGAUCUGGUCACCUUUAUCAUGGUUUAGGUUUCAGUCCAUGGUUAGCUGGCUCCAAGGCAGGGCAGCCUGGCCAAGCAGAGCUGUUCAUGGCCUGGCUGCCUGGAAGCAGAGAGAAGAAGGGAGAAGCUGGGAAGGGAAAUAUAGAACACUGAUGAUCCACCUCCUCCCACCAGCACCACCUCCUAACAGCAAGUCCUCUGUAAGGGCAUCCUGAUCUGGUCACCUUUCAAAAGCCCUGCCUAUGAGCAGAAGCUUUACAACACCUAUUGGUAUUAUGAUGUCAGGAACGGAGCUUAUCUGAAGAAUUGAGCCAAUGAUCUACAUCAUAUCCUGAAAGAAGCCAAUGGUGUUAUGUGUAUAAUGAACUCUACACAUAACAAUGGUAGCUCACUUCUUUAAAGACUUGCUUUGUAGCAGUGUAUCAUGUUUAUUAAAGACUGAGGCAGAGCGUGAUGUAAUAUUCCAAUGUUUUCAAUUAUCACUCUUGACAUAUAGGGCCACAAAGUAGCUACUCAAUAAAAAUUAGCUGCUGUAAGUACAAAAUGUAUUACUUUUGCUGCAUUGUCUCAUUUGCAAUAUUGAGCAACCUAUACAAAAACAUUUUAUGAGAAACUGAAGUAUACUUCUGCCUAAAACAUUAUGACUUCAAAUUAGGAAGAAUGUGUGUCCUUGUUUGCCGGCCACGGGCCCUGUUUGGUCUGAUUGUUCUAGGGUAAGAGCACCCUCUCCCCUUUUAUAAAAUGUCCUGAUGUAUAAGGUUACCCUGUCCUAUCAGGUUCACUCUCAAAGUCAGGUAUCCACAGAGGCCAAAAGGAGGAAAGAGGAAGAAAGGGAAACACAAAGCAGGUUCAUUCUGUAAACAUAUCUUCCUGCUCACAAACAUGUCCUCAAUAGAGGGUUUGAUUUAUGUGUUCUGAUUCAUGGCAAUGGGAGGCGGAGAAGAUUUGUCACCUUGGAUUUUGAGAGUCUAAUUAUUUACACUCUAAAACCAUGUCUUCACCUCCGAGGGAAAGUAUGCAAGGUAUCAGGUUAAUGGGUGGACUACAAAAAUCAAUGGCAGGAUCAGGAUGGGAGCCAUCUAAUCUCAUUUCUGCAGCCCAAGAUGCCAGCACAUCCGUCUUUCUCAAGAGUAUGCACACAGCUCUAUUAGGUGCUGGGCUUGCUAUAAUUCUGCUGUAAUUGCAAUAGCAUUAUAAAUUAUUGCCAGAACACUGGAGUGACUGCACUAGAGCUUUGGUUCAUGGCUCUGUGUUUCCUAUAUGUGCAGCCAUUUAUUUUUGGAGAUGGUACAGGGAGCUGCACACAUAAAUAUGCCCACAUCCUCAUGUCACAUGCUCAGCCUGCUGCCUGCUUCUGUGAUCAGCUUUGAAAGAUCUUGCAACAAACUGAGCAAAGGGAGUCCUGUGUUCUAUAUUUAGCUUUCCACUAACUAGCUACAUAACCUUGUGAAGGUCACAUUCUCUCCCUGGACUUCAUGGUAUGUAAAAUAAGUACAUAGAAUUACAUCACAGAUUUCCAUAUUUUACCCAUUUUCUCACCUCCUCAUUUUUUGGGGCUAUU
rnacentral:lncRNA from 1 species